GGCCUUUGUAUUGCCUAUUCAGUCCUGUCCAGAAUGGAUGUGGUGUCAGAAAAGGCAAACAGGAAUUCUUGCUCAAAACUGGUUUUAUGUACCUGCCUCCUCUCUGUUUUUGCAAGGACAAAA